rnacentral:rRNA from 1 species
CGAAGGGUGCAAGCGUUACUCGGAAUUACUGGGCGUGAAGCGUGCGUAGGUGGUGAGUUAAGUCUGUCGUGAAAGCCCCGGGCUCAACCUGGGAAUGGCGAUGGAUACUGGCUCGCUAGAGUGCGGUAGAGGAGAGUGGAAUUCCCGGUGUAGCAGUGAAAUGCGUAGAGAUCGGGAGGAACAUCAGUUGCGAAGGCGGCUCUCUGGACCAGCACUGACACUGAGGCACGAAAGCGUGGGGAGCAAACAGGAUUAGAUACCCUGGUAGUCCACGCCCUAAACGAUGCGAACUGGACGUUGGGAGCAAUCAGGCUCUCAGUGUCGAAGCUAACGCGUUAAGUUCGCCGCCUGGGGAGUACGGUCGCAAGACUG